AAUGUCGCCGUUUAUUGUUAGUUUCGAAUCUCACCGCAUUGGCGCUUUAGUUUAUCGCACUAGUGAUAUACUAGUUGGAAUUUUUGGCAGCGAAAGCUCAGUGUAAGAUCCAAUCCUCGAUCCGAACGGUCAACCGAAAAUUAGCGAACGAGUACAAGUGAUCGGUAGAAGUAGCCAAUAGCUACGUUGUGGCAUCGAAUAGUUUACAAUAGUUAUUUUUAUUAAUUACUGAUUAAUAAAUAAAUUUUAAAAAACGAUAAAAAUGGACGCGCGAUUCAAGAGCAAUCUUGCCAUGAUUGGCCGUAAUGAACCCAUUACGAGAAAAGCCAGAUUUUGGCAGAGUUAUGUACGUGCUCUCAAAGGAACCGACGACAUGAGAGCACCCGAACACACUCGUAAACCUAGAAGCAUAUUCAGCGACUACCCUGAACUUCAUUCGUCAUCAUGGCCUUACGGAAAAUCUAUUUUUGAUAACCCAUCGCACGCAUCUGAUCGCAUCAAUGUACCUGGAUACAGGUACUUACCCGUUCAUCGGGAAAUCUACGGCUACUCACCGAGACAAUUGUAUCCUCACCAGUACAAACCCGUCGAUCGCUUCGUCUCCGCUGAGUCAUUUGACGCCGACCGAGCAUGGAGUGACCACUUGGACCGAUUGGCAGACAUCGAUAGAUUGUACCCAAGUUCAUCGCCCUUAUUAUCUCGUCACAAAUCACCCUCGCUGUCGACGAAACCGCUAUUUGACAUUCACGGAAAGCUGUUGGAUGACCCGUUAACGCACUUUCCUUCGAUGCUGGGAAGAAAGGCUUUCCACGACAUGCUGGAGCCCCAGCCGUCUAAACCGAUCUCCGCCUUUACGAGAGAUCCAUGGUGGUACCCAUGCACCGCACCGUACAUCCCAGCUCACGCUCAAUGGAUAUCCUCACCCUUCUUCUUAAGGGACAGCUAUCUCAGUCCUGUUAAGCGUAAUUACCUUUGGAGAAGUCAUCCUCUCAGGCCUUUUGACAAGAUUAACGUUCUAUUUGCGUCUAUUUUGUAAAUAUCUAACCAUUCAGAUUGAGGAGAUAGAAAUAGAGAUAUAUAAAUGUGUAUAUAUAUAGUACAAGAUUAACACGAGAUAAGACUCGCGCUUGUGCCCGUUAGAGGAAUAACACGUGUCAUGCCGAUGGUUUGAAUAUAUGGUAGCGUGUAUGAAAAAAAAAAAGUAAGAG